UACGUAGGUGACCAGCGUUGUCCGGAUUUACUGGGCGUAAAGAGCGCGCAGGCGGUCGUUCAAGUCGAGUGUGAAAGCCCCCGGCUCAACUGGGGAGGGUCACGCGAUACUGAUCGACUCGAAGGCAGGAGAGGGUAGUGGAAUUCCCGGUGUAGUGGUGAAAUGCGUAGAUAUCGGGAGGAACACCAGUGGCGAAGGCGGUUACCUGGGGCUUUGCUGACGCUGAUGCGCGAAAGCGUGGGGAGCGAUCCGG
rnacentral:rRNA from 1 species